ensembl:lncRNA
GAAAUUAAACAUUUAGGGGACUCCUCCCGAGCCACACUGAUUGAGCUGGAAGGAUGCUGCUACGUUGACAGAGGCAUUUGUCUGCUCUUGCAAGCUAGUAAGUGACAUUUCAUUCUGCUCAUCCCCAAGGCAAAGUUGGAUGGUUUUAAAGUGGAAAAUAAAAUGAUCGGAAAGAAACGGGGAAGGUGGGAAGAGGUGGCCGUCGAGGGCGGUACAGCUCUUUAGAUCUAUCCAACUCUGGACCAAACAGGCACCUUCAGGACAUGGCCUUGGAGGAGCCAGCACAGAGCAACAGAAAAGAAUUGGGCACAGACAUAGGAGAACUGGGGUUUGAGGCCUGAAUCUGCCGUUAAAUCUCU